GACGUAGGGCGCGAGCGUUGUCCGGAUUUAUUGGGCGUAAAGAGCUCGUAGGCGGCUUGUCGCGUCGACUGUGAAAUCCCGCGGCUCAACCGCGGGCCUGCAGCCGAUACGGGCAGGCUAGAGUUCGGUAGGGGAGACUGGAAUUCCUGGUGUAGCGGUGAAAUGCGCAGAUAUCAGGAGGAACACCAGUGGCGAAGGCGACUUUCUGGACCAGAGCUGACACUGAGACGCGAAAGCGUGGGGAGCGAUCCGG
rnacentral:rRNA from 1 species